UGUCUGCUGUCUUCAGCUGCCGUUGCCUUUUCUUCUCCUCUCGGUUUAUUCUUUUUUUUUCUUGUGUGUCUGUUUCGUUUUUAUGUUUUUUUGUUGGUUUUGGCGCUGUCGGAAAAUGUCCGUUGCCAUUUCCAUUGCAGCCGUCUUCCGUUUGGGCGCUGUCCCUCCGUCGUUUGCCAUGCCCCCGUGUAAUUAGCUGGGUUCCCUAUCUUCGACAUUGUCUGGCAUUUCUCGGGUAUUUAUGUACUUUGCUGCAGACAGGACAAGCUACAUACAAUUUGGUUCAAAUGCCAUUGAUCUUGAACUUGAUUCAACUCAUAAGUGCAUUCAUCAGACAAAUCUGUCGACAGACAUGCGUUUAUUUCCUUGACUCGUCGCCAGCAAAUAAUUUCAAGCUUGAGUUCGCAUUCAGUGGACUAGAAAGAAAGUCAAUGUCGAAGAGCCUCUAUUAAAUUAGCAUUUCGCUGUCGCCCUGGCACGCUCUUCCGAGUAAUGCCCAUUCCCAUGUCCCAGUCUCCACUGCAACUCCGGAUCCGGACGAGACGGCAUAUCUCCGGUGCUUGGCCAGCUGAUGAUGAUGACUGGAGAUUUCUGGCAGCGAACGGCGCCAGAGAAUCGUAAAAUAUUUUUAUACAAAUAUCGCAGCAGUUAGAACAAAAGAUUUGAUUUGAAAAUGUAACGCUUCACGCCUGCAAAAAUACCGACAAAGAAAUGUCACACAAAAGACAGUGGGAUGCAAGCAGAUCUCUGUUCAGAUACACUAGGUGGACCUUCGGAUAAAUCAGGUGUAAUUGCGUCAUGCGGGUGCAUGGUAAACUAGAUCGACAGUAAACCUAAUCGAGACAGAGACACAUAAGUUGACGCGACAUCGGCACAGCCCAUAAAGUGACCACGCUCCUUGGAUUCCAAGGAUUCCCAGGACAGGUCGUUUUGCGGUGUGUCUCGCCUUGCUGGGUGUGAAGUGUCCCGUGGGCGGCGGUGUCUUUAGUUGCUCAAGAUGCAUGUACCUGAGCACAGUCGUCUGUCGCCAAUUGAAGUAAUAAUUUUCUAUUGUCCUUCGUCGCGCCUUCCUCCAUAAAGCAAAUGUACUUCAGAGCACUGAGAAGGACGCGACAAGUGGCUGGCUCUGGGUACUCUGUUCGGUUCAAGUAGCCAAGUGGCGCCAGACGAUCCAAGUCCCUCGGCCAGAGGACAUCUUUGUGAGUCCGCUAUCUGCCGCCUUGGAUCUGCAGAUGCUGAACGGUAGCGGUCAAGCUGCCAGAGGUUGACAACGACAUAUGUUCGUGCUGGAUAAGAUUGGGCCAGAGAAGAUUAGCUGCCGGGGAGAAGGGAUUUGGAUUGGGUAUACGGGUGGACGGAAGCUCUCGAACAACCCACACAAUCUCUUAGGCAAAAGGUUUUUUUUCUUGGUUUUUGGUAGAUACUAAGCCGGUGCUCAAGGUGCGUCGAGAGCAUCAUUAAGGCAGGAAGGCAAAGGUAACUACGGGACGGGAGUCCAGACCACAAGCAACGAUGAUUUAAUUUUCCAACACGCUUUCUACCACGCCAGCAUAAAGCAUCGUUGAAUCUCAAAAUCUGGGGUUUUGAAUUUGGAUUUUUCUCGUUUUUUUUUUUUUUUGCUUUUUGGUAUUCCAUGGAUGAUCGAUGGCCUGUCGUUGAGAUGAUCACUUUCUGUAGCUGCCUAGCGGCUACUAGUUGAGAUACUUAACGACGAUCCAAGAGGGCGCCACUCGGGCCUUAUAAUUUGUUAAGAUGUUUGGAUCGAUGGAUGGAUGGAUCGAUCGAUGGAUGAUUGGGGAUGCCUGGAUUGAUUGCCCUUUCUCUGCAUAAUAUUUAUGUAUGUAUAUUUCUCACGCGGCGCGAGAGAGCCGCAUUCUCGUAUGCAUUUUGGGCGACCGAAAGUGCUUUUCUGGGCUACCGAUAAUCGCGGCGAUCAUCUGCAGUAGGAGACGCCAUCAUCGCCUUAUCAGCGACUCGGCAUCUGAGAACAUUAAAUAGCUACUUAAGAUACAGCUUCCCGACGGCUGCAGUGGUAUCGCUUCCAUGCCAUAUCGAUUACCAUUAAGCCGAGGGCAAUUGACCUGAACCCAACAGAAGUCGAACGGUGUGUAAUCGAUACGAUCGGCUAUCUAUGGUUGAUCUUUUGCCAGGCAGAUAUUUCGCAACUGUGUCGGCAUUUUCAGCCUGUGAUCACUGAUCAACCUAGCCAUGAUCUAUGAUUGCCCCGGGCCGUUUGCCAUUUGCCAGUUGUUAGUUGCCAAAUGCCCGAAGCCUCCAGCUACACAUAUAUUAUAUGUACAUAUGUACAUACAUACAUAUGUACACCCAUUUCUAUCGACUCAUUUGGCAUGCCGCUCACAGCUCACUCGCACUAAUUAAAAUAAAUUCUGUCAGACAUUCUCGUUUAAUUUUUUCGCGCACCUUGUUGCUUUGUUUUUUUGACCAGAUCCAUGGAUACCAAACGUUGAAGCGAGAAAACAAGCAAUAAAUACGUCAGCAGCCAAUACGUCAAAGGCAUUUCGACUGACAGACUGACUGCGCUGGCAACUUAAAAUGCACAUUAUUAAUUAGUUGUUAUAAUUGCAUUUAAAAAUCCAUUAAUAUUUAUAGAAUUCAUAAUAAAUAAUGAGGAUCGGUCUGGCAUGGACCAAACUGGAGCUCUCGAGACGGCGACAUCGACGCCUCCAAAUGCCAAAAUGGUAUUUUUCGUUGGACAGGACGGACUUUUGGACCAAGUUUGGCAAUUUAUGCGUCCAGAUUCGUGAUGUGUGUGGCAUAUAUGAAGCCCAGUCACAAGUUGCCUUUGACAAAUUCUCCAAGAAUGUGUCCGCAAGAUUUCAGGGCAUUGCAGCGGGCAUAUCAGCAAUGUAGUGCGGUUUGUUUCACUUCACAUAAGGAUUCAGUUAAUCUAGAGAUUAAGUACCCUUCUCUGGUUGAAUAUUACAAGCUAACUAUAUACUAUAUUAAACCGAAGAAAAAAAAAUAUUUCUCUGAACUUAUUUUAUGAAAAAGUUGAUAUAUAUUGAAAUAACAAGUUAUGAAAAGUUAAAUUAUAAAAACUAAGACCUCAGCAAUCAUGUUUUUCCAGGAUCUGAUACUUAGUUGUUUUUAAUGAUUCCAAAUUGCACCUAAAUAGGUAUUUUAUGAGGCUAGUAUACUUUGAAUACUGUGAAUUUUUGUAAUAAAUGUUUCUAUUUAAAAAACUCUA
ensembl:ncRNA lncRNA:CR46451 long non-coding RNA:CR46451